UUUAACAAUAUUAGUUCAGUCAGUAAUAUUGAAUUUUCCAUUAGCUUUCAUGAAAUAGGCGUCUACGAUUUACCUACGAUGAUUACACUUAUUACAAAUAUGAGAUCACAACCAUUGCACGCGUACAUUGGUCAUUCUAUGGGCGAAUCUGUUUUUUUACGUAAUGGCAACAGAGCGUCCAAAAAUUGCUAGAAUUGUAAAAAUGAUGUCCAGUCUCGGACCAGAAGUUUUUUUAGAUCAUAUGAGAGGUCCACUACGAUCGAUGUUUUAUUUGGUGAAAAAGAUGCAGCCAAUAAUUCGAGUUUUGUUCCAUGAUGAAUUAAUCCCACGAAAAGUUUUUGAAACGGCAAUGGCAUUAAUCGGCAGCAACCCAAAUUUCCUUCUAUCGCAGAUGUGCGCUAUUUUCAUAUUUUCAGUCUUCGGUUACGACCGUGAGCAGUUUACUUACGUGAGUAAUAACUGACCAGUAUUGCGAGUUUUGUUUCAUGACGAAUUAUUUUCGGAAGCUGCUUCCAGCACACUAAUAAUAUUAAUGGGGUGCAACUUGAAUUUUUUUCGAGAAGAGUUGUGCGCCAAUAAUCUCGUAUUUAUGCCCUACGGUUACG